UGAGGAAUAUUGGGCAAUGCCCGCAAGGGUGACCCAGCAACGCCGCGUGGAGGAUGAAUGUCGUAAGAUUGUAAACUCCUGUUAGAGGGGAAGAAUAGUACCGGUUGGACCGGUAUAUGACUGUACCCUCAGAGAAAGCCCCGGCUAACUACGUGCCAGCAGCCGCGGUAAUACGUAGGGGGCAAGCGUUGUCCGGAUUUACUGGGUGUAAAGGGCGCGCAGGCGGGAUAAAAAGUCAGUGGUGAAAUCCUACAGCUUAACUGUAGAACUGCCUUUGAUACUUUUAUUCUUGAGUUCGGGAGAGAGAGACGGAAUUCCAGGUGUAGUGGUGAAAUAAGUAGAUAUCUGGAAGAACACCAGUUGCGAAGGCGGUCUCUUGGUCCGACACUGACGCUGAGGCGCGAAAGCGUGGGGAGCAAACA
rnacentral:rRNA from 1 species